UUCUACGUGAUUCUAUUUUGGUAAACGGAACAGCAGCAUAAGAAAUAUGACAGCAACAUAACAAUGUUGUUUAUUCGGUUUAUUCUAGUAGUGUGACGAUCCUAAUUUAGAAGUAAAUCACCAAUACAUGACUUUUGUUUGUUUAUCCUAUGAUUGAGAGAGCGAAAGAGAAAAUCAGUGAGCAAAAGAAGGCAGGGACGCGAUUUGAUCCAUGGCAUUCUCUCUCUGUUGUGUAGUGUAUCAGAAAUGGUAUUUGGAUUCCCUGUGAAAAUUACCGAAAACUGUCGAAGAAAGUGAUCAAAGUAGUCAAAUGUUGUUUAAUUGGUGAAAUAAAAUAUUCCAGAUUGCUUUUCACGAAGAAGCGAUAGAGUUUUAGCAGUGAUUAAUGGUCUAAGACUGAAUUUAAGGGUGGUUGAAGUUUCUCAGUGUUGUUCAGGAUAUUGAACGCCUGUCUAUUUUGUUCUGUAUCUUGUUCUUCGUGCACACAUGCUCAGCAGCAGGUACGAGGCGAUGGUCGACGCAGGCUGCCAAUGAUUCGGUUGUCGCUGUUCGACAUUACCGUACUCAGCGUCAGAGUGAAUGGACUAUGUAUUACCUGAGUUACGCUGCAGUAGUGCGAAAACAGAGGUUUCUUCAAAAACGAACCUGGUGGACGUUGCAGGUCUUACUCGUAUGUGGUAGUUUUGUCUUCUCUUCCGUGUGUGUUUCUGCUGUAUGAUUUCUGUUCACGUUCCGCCGCAGAUGUUGUGUAGUGCGAGAUUUUGAACGAUCAAGACAACAAAAUGGAUACUGCUCAAGUGGGUGAAGAAAGUGUCGCAGUAUACGACCAAACGGAGUUGAAAAUUUGUCGGCUCUGUUGCAGCGAUGAUCAACAAGAAUUGAUUUUGAUUUUUUCGGAUAGUUGUUCAUACGAAGCUAAUAAGUUGCUGCUUAAGAAGAUCUUUGAAUGUACUACGGUUCAGAUCACCAGCGAAGGGGACGAUCAAAACGCCCUGAUUUGUCAGCUAUGCAUCGCUAAAAUUGAUGACUUCUAUGCGUAUCGGGAACAAUGUAAAGCAAAUGAUGACCGUAUUCGACAGCGAAUACACAAUUUACCACAAAUAUGCAUCAAACAGGAGAAAGACCUGCAUUUUGACAUUAGCAUCAGUGAACCGAUUUCGACCUGUGAGGGUGGUUUUCAACAGGAAGAAUCUUCACAGCCUAGGAUUUCUUCCCAUUCAACGACGGCAGCGAACGAGUUCGUUCCUGAACUCGAGAAUGAUGCAACCAGUAAAGAUGCUGACGACAGUUUGCUCCAGCCAAUGUCUUCAGUGACACACACAGAAGAGGAGAUUACUAUCAAACGUGAAACUAUAGAGGAUGACGACGUGUACUAUAACAGCGAUGGAGAGGUGGCUGAUGUGUCAUUGCCGCCGAAUCAGCCGUCAUCGUCAUCCACCGCCGGUCAGAAAACGAAAUAUCGUAUCAUAAUGGCGGCAAAUAAUCGGGAACGACUGGUGUAUCAAGGCUAUCUUUACUGUAGGCAUUCAACGCGCCGCGAUGGUUCUAUCCAUUGGAGAUGUCGAUUGGGUGGUUGUCAGGCUGCUGUUAAUUUACUGCUGGAUGAAACGAUUGCACCAGCGAAUGGAAAUAAACAUUGCCACCCAAGGAAUGUGCCGGAAGACACAGAGAAUGGAACAGAGGAAACAGAGGAUGACGAUUCCAACGUUCUGGAUAAUGAUGAUGCCUCAUAUGAGCCAUUCGAUGAAGAUGACACCACUCAGGACGAUGUGGGUACUGAUUUAGAACCAGUGGCAGUUAGCCCAGACAGUCUGGUGAUUGUGCCUAACAAGAAGAAAGGCGAAACUCUAGUUCACUUGGGUUUCAAGUACUGCAAACGGUAUAACAAAAUGGACGGAUCAACUUUCUGGAAAUGUCGAUCGAACAACAAUAAAUGUUCAGCAGGCGUUUAUGUUCACCCAGAUUCGAGAGUGAAGUAUCAUGGUACUCAUAAUCACGAGAAGGUAGUGAAUGAGGGUGAGGUGCAAGAGCAGGACGCGGAUAACACAGCAGAGGAAGAUGUGCAUCAACCAUAUACCAUCGUAGAAGACGUAGAGGAGGACGAUGGAGCUGGAGGUGGCGAGUUCACGGAUGAUAUGGUAGUUUUGCUGAACAACAGCGUAGAAGUGAUGAUGCCCGAAGACCAGAAACAAAUCAAGAAGGAAUUUGAAAUAACCACCAACGUUAAAGGGCGUGAGUGUUUGAUUUACGAGGGACAUCAGUACAGCAAGGAUCGAGAAAGAUCAGAUGGAGCGGUGCUUUGGCGUUGUCGCAGAAAUUACGACAAAUGUCGCUCGGUAGCUGUCGUUUAUAAGAACAACCGGGUUGAAAAGUUUGGCGAACAUCACCAUGAGACUGAUAAGCGUUAUCUCGAGCGACAAGAGCAAGGUCAUGGUAGUCGGUACUACCGCAUAACAAAAAAUCAGCGAGGGAACGACGCGCUCGUGUUCGAGGGUAAUCGUUUCAGCAAGGAAUGGUCGCGAGUUGACGGUUCUAUCAUCUGGCGUUGCUCGUAUAAGAGUGGAAUUUGUAGGGUGAAGGUGGUACUGAAUUCCGACGGUAUGGUACAUCGUAUGGGCGGUGAGCAUGAACACGAUCAUGAACAAACUGAAGCUGAAGUAACAGAAGAGUUCUUCGACGAGGAUGUCGAGAUAGUCGACGAGUCUUUGCUGGUGACUCCGACCCGUAACCAACUCAAAACAGCAGCCAAAUCUCCUAUACAUACGCCAAACUUCACCCCAGAACCGCAGCCUGGUAACUAUCGAAUUGUGAAGAAUCGCAAAGGAUUUGAAGCGCUGGUCUAUGAUGGGUACCGUUAUUGCAAGGUUCGUGUCAAACAGGACGGGUCAGUCAAGUGGCUUUGCAAAAUGAAUAAAAAGACUUGCAGAGCGGCGGUUGAUCUCUAUCCGGAUGGUACCAUCAUCAAAGCAACCGAUUUCGAACAUAACCAUGAGCGACCGACGGAUAUGGAAGCACCAGACGAGGAUGAUGAACCUGAAAUUCCUGGCCAAGAGGUGACUUAUCCCAUCGACCCUGAUGUGUUUGGAAAUAGUCAAUGGUAUUACGUUAAAAACAGUAAGAACGGCAUGAGUAUGAUGCAUGCUGGCUAUCGAUACACCAAAAAGUGUGAUCGUGUCGAUGGCACCUCUCUUUGGCGAUGCUCGGCUUCUCAAAGAGGUUGUAAGGCAGGCGUCAUUUUGUUCCCCAAUGAUACUCUAGCAAUGGUUGAAAAUGCUGAACAUUCUCAUAGACCAUACGACGUUAACAAGACAGCGGACGGUGAGAAAGAUGCCAGCGAUAUGCAGAAGUCUGACGUGAUAGAAAUUGACGAAGCAGAUCAAUCGGCGAAUGAAUCAGACAUAAAUAUGCAUUCUCUGUUGCAAACCGUGCUGGGCGGGGAUGAAGUUCCCUGGAUGGGAGGUGAAUCAGACAAAGAGCAGCUGUCGGAAUCGGUGUGGUUCAAUAGUGCGACUGAUCGGCCAUAUCCACGACCUACUGGACCACCAGAUUUUAAGAUUAUAAAAAAUCGUCGUAAUACGGAUAGUUUGGUACACCGCGGCUAUCGGUACUGCAAAAUACGUGACCGGGUAGAUGGUUCAAUAUUAUGGGCAUGCCAGAUGAACAAAAAGACGUGUAGAGCUUCGGUGAAUCUUGCCGUUGAUGGUAGCGUAGAAGUCAUCAACGGCAAACACAAUCACCAGAAAACCGAUUUCGAUGAUGGUGAGGGUCCUGAACAAAUUGUUGUGCAACCGAAGGAGCCAAUCCCCGACGUAGAACUCGCAACGGAUAGUUCCAACAAGAUCAAGCAACACACAGGCAAACCGGUGAAACAUCCUGACUAUUACUAUAGUCUGAAUAAAAGCAAUCGCGAAUGUUUAAUCCACAAGGGUUAUCGCUUUUGCAAGCGGUCCGACCGCCCGGACGGUUCAACAACAUGGCGUUGUUCGAUGGGUGGAAAUACCUGUAUGGUCGUGGUGACAAUUCAUGCCGAUGGAACGCCGGAGGAAAAUUCAGUCAAACACAAUCAUCAUCCUUUGGCCGAUCUUCCACCAGAGAUAGAGCGAGAAGUUAAACCUAAGGUCGAACCGAUGUCCGAAACUAAAAAGGCGCCAUACAACAGAAAAGGUGACAUAUUGGAGUGGAAUGGAUUCAACUAUCGCAAGAUAAAAGAACUCCCAGACGGUUGUAUUAUUUGGAUUUGUCAAAUAGACAGCUGCAGAGUGGCGGUAAAGAUGCUUCCGAAUGGUCAGCUAAAAAUGUUAAGUGAAUCUGAACACAAUCAUACAGCCACUGGCCAGUUGCCUUCAGCACCAUCUACCGUUGCACCUGCCAAAUCGACAACCUCAGCAGGGAGUACUACUACUGAAAACAAAACUCGCUGCUACAGACUUUUCAAAAACCAAAGAGGUCAGAUGACACUGCUGUACAAGGGAUAUCGAUACUCGAUACGUAACCGUAACCAAGACGGUAGUUCCUCCUGGAAGUGUCGUGCCAACAGUAGCUGUCGCGUUAUUAUUUAUUUAAUGGCCGACGAUCGAAUUGUACAUGGUAUCAACAAUGCGGAACACAAUCAUGAACCCAACUGGGAAUCCACCAAGAAACUAGAGGCAGUUAUGCCAACCCGGGUGAAUCCUCUGUACGAUUAUCUGAACAUUGUCCCAGGUGCAACUCCUAAUUCUGACCAACAAACGGAUAAACCAACUAACUCGUCCGAAGUUGCCAAAUCCGAGAAUGUUAACUUCGGUAAAAACGUUAUCGAGCACAAAGGAUAUUACUAUCGUUUGGUUGUGCGGAAGAAAAACGGGCGCGAAUACUGGCGCUGUGUGCAUUUCCGAAACCGAACAUGUCGCGCGGCCCUAUUUUGCAGAGACAACGGCACAAUAAUCACAUCCAGCAACGGGAAGGAACACAGUCACGGCAAAGGAGCAGAAAGUAAACCAACGUUCCCGGCUCAUGCACAUGCAGGGAGCAAACAAACGUCGAAUCUAUCUCGAAUGCUGCAGGGAAGAUCGAGCGCCCAACCGUCACCUCCUGACGAGGUUCAGCUAACCUCGAGGGAUGACGAGCGGUACAUUGAUCAUGGUGAUUAUGUGAUAGCUAAAAAUCGUAAAGAUCAGAACACUUUGAUCUUCAAAGAUCGCCGAUACUAUUUGUCCUAUAGUCGAAGCGAUGGAUCGGCUGUAUGGCGCUGCGCCCAUCGGAAGCGCUAUAAAUGUUACGCAUAUGUAAGACUACGGCCAGAUGGACGGCUGCUAAGCACGGGAGAGCAAGAGCAUUCGCACUCACUGAACACAGAGGAAAAUCCACCGCCUUCGGGAGCUAAAGAAACUAGAAAUUAUAAAAUUGUGAAGAACCGUGUGGGGAACGACAUUCUAAUUCACGACAGUCAUCGAUUCCGAUUGAAUUACCAAAGAAAUGAUGGCACAACACACUGGAGGUGCAUUUGGGCCAGAAGUAAUCAUUGUUCGGCCGGGGUUUACUUGUUCGUGAAUGGUGUGUUGAAGAAUGCCGCUAAUGAGUCAGCGAUCACCCACAAUCAUCCACCGCCAAGCCAAAUGAGAAAAGUUGUUGUUAAACCACCAGCAGCUCAACUACUUCAAGAUCAAUCAGAAACGCAAGAUGGGACUGAUAAGCCGCAAAAUCGCACGAAUAUUGAAGAUGAUGGAACCACUGAUUUCAAGUUCGUCGAAGAUGGUAACUCUAAAACUCUCAUAUGUCGUGGAUACCGAUAUUGGUACGCAUGGGUGCGCAAAAAUGGUAGCAUAUACUAUCGAUGCGUAGAAAACAAGAAAUUGCAGUGUCCUAGCGGAGUCGUACUGUUGUCGAAUGGAAAGCUCGCGCAAGCAAGCCCUGACUGCCAUAACCACGAUCCUAGUCGAGACGAAGCCGAGGAAGAAUUCCUAGGAUUCCCGGCGGAAUUGCAGCUCGCAGAUGCUUCGCAACAAGAGGAAACACUCGAACAGUUUCCACCACUUGACGUGGCGCCAGGAGGAGAUACGGACUUUAAGAUUGUAAAAACAUCCCGCGGUGAAUCGUUGAUUUACAAAGGCUAUCGAUACUGGGCGAAAAACCGUUUGGCGAAUGGAAUUGUUUCGCUUUGUUGUACCAGAAAGAAAAUGAAAAAAUGUCCCGCUAUGCUUAGGUUACUUACCAACGGGCGAAUCAUGGAUCCCGUUGGAGCCGGCCACACUCAUCCGCCAAAUAUUGAGGGCGGAGGAAAUCCGGCUGAUUCUAGGGUACAACCGGUAGCAGCAAAGCCCACUCCACAGAAACCAGUGCUCGCUGAUGAACCUGUAAAAAUCAAAGUUGCGCCACAGACCGCCAAAUUGCCAGCGUUAUCUUUCAAUGAAGAAUCGGACGAUGAUGCGGAACAAGGCGACGAGUCGCUUAUUGGUUCGAGAAGGUAUGCUUUCAUGAAGAGCAGUGCACAACGAAAUUUUAUUGUAUACAAAGGUUUCGUCUAUGAUUUUGAACACAAGCAACACGAUGGAUGUGUUUUUUACCGAUGCAAGUCAAGUGAUGCUUGUCCAGCGUCGCUAAUGUUAUUAUCGAAUGGUCGUGUGAUGAAUAUGGACGAUUCACUGCAUAUUCACGAGAAGCCCGAUCUGUCCAGCUUGCGACAAGUUGGUCGCGGAUCGAAAGAGUUCAAGAUUGUUCAGAACAAAAACGGUAGCAACAUCUUAGUUCACCGGGGUCACAGAUACACCACUCCUCGGGCAAAAACGGACGGUGCUGGAAUAUGGUACUGCCACACGUACGUCCCGGAAAUCAACCGUCGAUGUUACGUUCCAAUUGAGUUGCUUCCCAACGGUCGGGUGGCACCGGUUGGGGACAAACAACACAACCACACAGCUCCGUUCAAAACCAAACAGGAUGCAACAACUGAGUCGAAGGAUAAUGUCGUUAGCACUGUGAAGCCCGAACUGAAUCAUGCAGUGGACGAUACUGCUGAGAAUAAAAUGCUCCUCUUGGGAGGCCAUCGAUACACAUAUGCCCACACGAGAGAAGAUAGAGCCAUUUUGUGGAAGUGUGCAAGAAAAUCGUGCAAUGCUUCGCUGUAUCGCUUAUCGGAUGGUCAUAUCGUCAAAGGGCCCGAUCAUAAUCACGAGAAACUAGAAGCAUUCGACGCCACGAAGAGUUUUAAGCGAAAAUAUUCGGAUGUUGAGACCAAAGUUAAAAGUUCUAGUCCGGUCGUCCGCGAGGGAGAUUCAAAGUCACAAUGGACGCCCAGACCCGGACAGAUCUGUGGAAACCCGUACAUCGGACAGUCGAUCAUAAACGAUGGUUAUCGUUACAUAUAUUAUUUGACUCGAAAAGAUGGCUCCGAACACUGGCGUUGCUGUCGAAGGAUCCCGUUGAAAUGCCGUGGAGGCCUCUAUAAACAACCGGAUGGAACACUGAGUUGUUCAAACGAUGAAGGACACACACAUCCUCCCGACCAUACACACCUUGAAGAUAUGAUUCCUAUGACUUACACCAGAGCCGAGCAUGCUCAUUCUAACUCUAAUGACGCGGUCGAUGUGGGAGAACCGCCAGAGCCUUCACCUGAUUUACAAGCAUCUCACCGUGAUGACGAAGGGUCCUAUGACUAUAAGUUGAUCGAUGUGAAAGGUAAAAAACGUGGCCAAUAUCUUGUACACAAAGGCGCGAUGUUUGUGGGCGGUCAUACGAGGAGAGGACGGGCGAGAUAUUAUCGUUGCCGAACGCCAGAUUGCAGGGUAGCAAUGCUUCUGCGCAAAAAUGGACUUCUUGUGCGUUACAACGAAUACACUCACGACUGUAAAAAUGUCGUUGAUCCCGACAAUGUUGAAGACGACGACGACGACGAUGACGAUAACGACAACGAUGGCGGCAUUCACAAUGACGAUGACAAUGAGUAUGAGGAACAACACCCCGAACCAGCCAAUAAAAAACAAUGCUUGGUAAACCAAGAUGAAGAUGAGACCUCCAGUACCGAACCAGUGGCGGCUGUCGGCAAUCCAGAUGACGAACAGAUCACGAACGGCAGUGAACCAACCGUCGAUGAGGUUGUUGAAGUCAAACAGGAACCUAUUGAUACAUUCUAGGCUCGUAAGUACUGUCGCCGUAGCGCAUUUGGUUCAUUGCACGUAGAACAGUACUCUUCCCCUUUGAUAGUCUCCAAUAGCCAGAAUGGACGAAUAAAACAUUUCGAAAAAUGCAACAUGUGUUGUGUUCCGAAGGAACUUAAAAGAACAUCGGAGCUGUGGGCUGUAAUUUUUCACACGAAAAACAAAA